GGGUAUUUUGGGGGGUGUGUUGGUCGGGCGGCAGCCGGGGGGCCCGGCCCCGCCGAGCACGUGGACGGCACCAACGAAACCGAACACAAGCGAGCGGCGGAACGGGUUGAGUCACACGCGGGUCACCCGCCCAAGAGAACCGGGAUAACACCUCGGAAACAGACGCUAAUACCGGAUAACAACACUAGACGCACGUCUAGAGUUUCGAAAGAAGGUUCCUGCUAUCACUCUUGGAUGGACCUGCGGUGCAUUAGCUAGUUGGUAAGGUAACGGCUUACCAAGGCAAUGAUGCAUAGCCGAGUUGAGAGACUGAUCGGCCACAUUGGGACUGAGACACGGACCAAACUCCUACGGGAGGCAGCAGUAGGGAAUCUUCCACAAUGGACGAAAGUCUGAUGGAGCAACGCCGCGUGAGUGAAGAAGGGUUUCGGCUCGUAAAGCUCUGUUGGUAGUGAAGAAAGAUAGAGGUAGUAACUGGCCUUUAUUUGACGGUAAUUACUUAGAAAGUCACGGCUAACUACGUGCCAGCAGCCGCGGUAAUACGUAGGUGGCAAGCGUUGUCCGGAUUUAUUGGGCGUAAAGCGAGUGCAGGCCGUUCAAUAACUCUGAUGUGAAAGCCUUCGUCUCAACCGGAAAAUUGCAUCAAAAACUGUUGAACUUGAGUGCAAAAAAGGAAAAUGAAACUCCAUGUUUACCGUUGGAAUGCCUAAAUAUAUGCAAGAACCCCGUGGCGAAAGCGGCUCUUUGUUC
rnacentral:rRNA from 1 species